GCUUCAGAAAGCUCGAGCUUUAGAGACUACCGCCGUGACAAACGUCAAUCUUAAAUCCGUUUUCAUUGAAUUUAUUAAAAGUUGAUGCAUCCUGGAGUUACAAAGGAGUAUGACAAUCCUGCUGUAUCUGCUCACACUGGAACUUCUAAGCAAGGCAGACAAGAGGAACUGGAUGAGGCUUUGGUUGACAUUGUGGUAAAAGAUUUGCAGCCCCUUUCUAUUGUCGAAGAUAAUGGCUUCCAGGCUUUUGUUAACAAACUGGAUCCCAGCUACAUCCUCCCAACCAGAAAGGCACUAAAAGCCAUGGUUCAGGCCAAGUACUGUGCAGCCAAAGAGAAGGCAAUGGCUGAGGUAAAGCAGGCUGGACCUCUGAUAUGUGGACUUCAAUAAAUAUGGAUGGUUAUCUGGGUGUCACAUGACAUUAUGUCACAGCUGAAGCCAAACUGGCCACAGUUCUCCUUUGUGUCAGCCAAUUUCCCCAGACACACACUGCUGCUUACAUCACGGAGUCCAUGAGUGUGCUAAUGACGGUCUGGGGAAUCAGUGGCAAGAUACACCGCAUGGUGACUGACAAGGCAACCAAUCUUGUUGCCACUGCCCAGCUGCUAAAAGUUCAUCAUGUGCCAUGCUUUGCCCAUACCCUGAAUCUGGUAGUAAAAAAGGCAAUCAACCAGACCCCAAAGCUCCAGGAAAUUCGUCAGAAAGCAAGGAAAAUUGUGUCUUUGUUCAGGUCAAGUUGCAAUGCUAAGGAAAAACUAUCAGAGAUGCAGCAGCCAAUGGGCAGGCCAGUGCAGAAGGUGGUUUAAGAAGUGGACACCAGAUGGAAUAGCACUUACGACAUGCUGCAGCGUCUGUAUGACCAACAUGAUGCAGUUGGUGCUGCCCUCUCUAAUUUAAGGUUGUUCCCUUAACAAGUGGGGAGUAUGAUAUUAUUAGUGAAUGCCUGACCCUCCUUCUUCCACUAAAACAUGCAACAACUGAAAUGUCUGAAGAGAAAAUGAUGUCUGUAUCAAAACUGAUUGCUCCUGGACCCAAGAUUCAAAACUAUUGGCUUUGGCAAUCCAGACCGUGUCAGAGAGGCUGAGAGACAACUCACCUUGGAAUGCGCAUCCCUAAUGCGGUCCUCGCCAGACACUGUCCACAUGACACUCCAAGGUCAUUUUUGUAUGGAAUUGUUAUUUUUGGUAUUUGAUACAUUUAAUGUGUACUGUGAAUAAAACCAUGUACUCUUUGACUCUUUCAAACAGAACCACAGCCUUCAACAUCAGCCCUGGCCCCAUCCUUGGAAGCAGCAUGUCCCACAGACAAUCUAUGGCAACUUUUGGACUUGAGUGUUUCCGAGGCUCAAAGAGUCCACAGUGCCACUGCAGAUGCCACUGUGGAGGUGAAGAGAUACCUAACGGAUGCUUAUCUUGGUAGAUGAGAAGAUCUACUCCUAUAUUGGAAGGAGAGAAUAACUGUUUACCCCAAUCUUUAUCAGCUUGCCAGCAAGUGUCUUUGUCUGCCAGCAACAUCUGUUUCCAGUGAACGCAAUUUUUCAAAGGCUGGGGAAGUCCUCUGCAAAAAAAAGGAGUUGCCUGAAACCCAGCACAGCAGAGCAAAUCAUUUUUCUAAAUAAAAAUGACCAAAACCGCUGCACUCGCCAACUUUAUUGCAAGCUUCCCAGGUCAAAGUUCUUGAGCGUCCACAUCCCAGUGAUAUUUGAAAUGGUUGUGUUGACAGAAACUUGAAUGUGUUUGGCUAUUUGGCUACCUCGGACUUUGGAAGGAGCGCUUGGAUUAACAGCAGUUUUAUUUAUACACUUUUUUCUUGGAUUUGUAUGGCUAUUUCACUCCAGUGUUUAUGGAGUUGUGUGUAUUUUUGGGGGUGUUUUUUCCCUCUAUAAAGGUGACUCACUACUGACUGCACAGAGGAUGAGAGCCAAGUGGUGUGUGAGGGAUGACAUUCACCUGCAUCUUUUUGUGAGUGGAAUUGCAGUGAUAAAGUUUUCUACAAUAUUUCUAUACAAAGAAGCAGCACUGACCCUUACUUUCUAUGAAAGUGCAAAAAAGUCUGACAUGUAAAUUGGUUUUUUGUGCUUUAAGGGUUGCCAAAGCUAUUGUGGAAUAUGGCCGGCCAGUCAUCCCGGCCAAUACCCCCAGGCCGCCAGGUGGAGCCUUCCCUGCAGUAUUGAG